rnacentral:rRNA from 1 species
GUGGAUUAGAUACCCUAGUAGUCCUAGCUGUAAACGAUGUGAACUUGGCGCUGGAUGGGUAAAACCGAUCAGUGCCGGAGCAAACGCGAUAAGUUCACCACCUGAGGACUACGGCCGCAAGGUUAAAACUCAAAGGAAUUGACGGGGGCCCGCACAAGCAGCGGAGCGUGUGGUUUAAUUCGAUGCUACACGAAGAACCUUACCAGGGUUUGACAUGUUUGUGGUAGCGAAGCGAAAGCGGAGCGACCCUUCGGGGAGCAAGCACAGGUGCUGCAUGGCUGUCGACAGCU